AGCAGAAGGCUGGAACUGAGUCUAAUGGUGAAGAACCCCCAGUUAAGGAGAGAUGUUCCCAUUACAUUGUCACAGAGAUGAGGAAUGAGGUUGUGACAACAGUACCUUUGAAUUCAACCAUCAACCCAGAUGGAGACAAUCCUGAUGCAAACCGUGGUGACACUAGUUUGACCUGGAAAAAUGUUGGUGUUGUUGCUCUCGUGCUGGUCAUUGCUGGUUUGCUCUUGGUGUUUUUUUGGGUGUACAAACCUUGGAGAGACAAACAGCGCAACCAAGGCCACAGAGAAAUGGAAGCGGGUCAGGGCAUUCCAGAACCAAACUCCAUUCCUCUGAUGCAGAAUGAGCGACGUGAUGCCA